AAAAAACGUGUCCGAGCGAUUCGCUAUAUUAUUAGUUGUUCUCCCACUAGCGAUUUGGGCCGAUCGCUCCCUGCCUCGCACGCCGCACCGAUCCUCCGCACCGGCAUUCCGGCAACCGCGCCUCCGCCUCUGGAACCUACCUGCGCCGCCUCCGAUGACUGCCGCCGCACCUCACCAUGACCGCUCCUGUGCUCCUUGUGCCGCCAGAUCGCACAUCACCGCUUGAGCCGAGCGGUGGCUCCCCCGACGACCACUCCCAGCGCCGCUCUCCCCCACGCCCUAAACCUCACCCACACCUCUCUCCCCCACCCCCUAAUCCCCUUUCAGCUCCGCAAGAUCGCAUAUCACCGCCUAAGCCCAUUGCCCUCUUACAGGGAAGAUCAUUGCUCAAUUUCAUUUCAUUUGUCAAGGUUGGAAUUGCUGCGGGAUAAGUGAAGCCUCGACACGACGCACCCUCGUCUCAUUCCUCAGUUUACAGAGUCCAGUUCCAAAAAGCAUUGGAAAGUGUUAGGGCUGCCACACUCAGGUGCGUUGAGACUGAAUCUUGGAUAUACAUUACUGAAGAACUGAACUCUAAUUGUGAGUGCCUUUGUACUUCCUAUUCUUUUAGUCAUAAAAACUGCUCUGAUUGUUUUCUUUUUUUUUUCUUAAGAAAAAAAAUCUCAGGUUUGCACUUUAGAUUGCAUCUCAGGCUAUUUUUUUCCGCUGCUCUAAGUAAUUUGUUAUUAUUGCUCGUUGGUCUAUGUUUUGUAAUCCUGUUAGAUUUGUAAAGCAUAGUCUGAAAUGCAAUGUCAAGUAAAUGAUGAUGCUA